UACGUAGGUGGCAAGCGUUGUCCGGAAUUACUGGGUGUAAAGGGAGCGCAGGCGGGAAGCUAAGUCAGCUGUGAAAACUACGGGCUUAACUUGUAGACUGCAGUUGAAACUGGUUUUCUUGAGUGAAGUAGAGGUUGGCGGAAUUCCGAGUGUAGCGGUGAAAUGCGUAGAUAUUCGGAGGAACACCGGUGGCGAAGGCGGCCAACUGGGCUUUAACUGACGCUGAGGCUCGAAAGUGUGGGGAGCAAACAGG
rnacentral:rRNA from 1 species